UCGGAAUCUCCUACAUCCCGUCCGAUGUGUCUCAAGUAUUCGGGGCUGUGAGGAUCUUUUAAAAAUGUUAAAAGCAAAGCCUGACUUCCCUCCACAAAUUAUACUGCUGCACAUGGAGAGUUUUACGUAAAAUUUAAGGGAUUAUGGUUUCUCAAGCCUCAGAUAGUCAUCACUCAUAGCAGAACUCCGUGAGCUGCCCCUGCCCCUCCCCGACCGUCCAUCCACUCCUCCCAUUUGCUCUGUUUGCCUCUGCUCUAGGUGGGGCAGGAGAGAUUCAGAAGAGGGACAGAACUGGCUGUCCUUGAUAGGACUUCAAGGUCACUGGAGCUCCGAGUCUCAUUGACAGUUGGGGCAUUUCACUUCUUACAUCACCUGUGGCUUAUCCAAGUGUCCAGAGGUCGGAGGGAGCCCUGUAACUCACACGACCCCUUUGAACUGAGGGGCAGAGACAAAAUGACAAUUAACUUGUGACUUGUCGAAGUUCCCCAACACACCUUGGUCUUCGUGGCCCCAGGCCUUCAGGCUUAUUAUCUUUCCCUCUGCUGGGUCAUUUGCUCCUCUUCAAGACAAGCUUGGCCUCAUCUCCUUUUGGACGCCCUCCCUGGACGUUGCCCACUACGUCCAGAUGAUUAGUCCUGGAAAUAAAUGUUUGUCAAACGGCACAAUGAA